rnacentral:rRNA from 1 species
AAAGGAAUUGACGGGGGCCCGCACAAGCGGAGGAACAUGUGGUUUAAUUCGAUGAUACGCGAGGAACCUUACCCGGGCUUGAAAUGCAGAAGACCGACGAAGAAAUUCGUUUUCCAGCAAUGGCUUCUGUGUAGGUGCUGCAUGGUUGUCGUCAGCUCGUGCCGUGAGGUGUCGGCUUAAGUGCCAUAACGAGCGCAACCCUUGCCAUUAGUUGCUAACAGGUUAAGCUGAGAACUCUAAUGGGACUGCCAUCGUAAGAUGCGAGGAAGGUGGGGAUGACGUCAAAUCAGCACGGCCCUUACGUCCGGGGCGACACACGUGUUACAAUGGGUGGUACAGAGGGUUGCUACCUGGUGACAGGAUGCUAAUCUCUUAAAUCCACUCUCAGUUCGGAUCGAAGUCUGCAACUCGACUUCGUGAAGCUGGAUUCGCUAGUAAUCGCGCAUCAGCCAUGGCGCGGUGAAUACGUUCCCGGGCCUUGUACACACCGCCCGU